UACGAAGGGGGCUAGCGUUGUUCGGAAUUACUGGGCGUAAAGCGCACGUAGGCGGAUCGAUCAGUCAGGGGUGAAAUCCCAGGGCUCAACCCUGGAACUGCCUUUGAUACUGUCGAUCUGGAGUAUGGAAGAGGUGAGUGGAAUUCCGAGUGUAGAGGUGAAAUUCGUAGAUAUUCGGAGGAACACCAGUGGCGAAGGCGGCUGCCUGGGCCUGGCCUGACGCUGAGGCGCGAAAGCGUGGGGAGCGAUCCGG
rnacentral:rRNA from 1 species